AUGAGUGCGGGUGGAGCGUUUGGUGGAAACAGGGGAGUGAGGCCUGUACCUCCUGAAAAGGGUGUAUUCCCUCUCGAUCACCUGCACGAGUGUGACCUGGAGAAGAAGGACUAUCUUGCCUGCCUGAAAUCAACAGGGGCUCAGUCUGAAAAAUGUCGGAUGUUCUCGAAGAAAUACUUGGAAUGUAGGAUGGAGAGGAUUCUAAAUCAUGUUGUUCUUGCACAAUCCAGAAACCUGAUGGCGAAGCAAGAUAUGUCAGAGCUUGGGUUCAGUGACGCAGACGUUGUGGUCACACCUUCAGAGGAGAACCACAAACUGCAGAGUCCAGCAAGUGAUUCGAAAGAGAGGAAAUAA
rnacentral:rRNA from 1 species